GCUUACGACCACACAGGUCUGAGUACGCCUGAUCUCGUCUGAUCUCAGAAGCUUAGCAGGGUCCGGCCUGGUUAGUACUUGGAUGGGAGACCGCCUGGGAAUACCAGGUGAUGUAAGCU
ensembl:rRNA 5S_rRNA 5S ribosomal RNA